AUUGAACGCUGGCGGCAGGCCUAACACAUGCAAGUCGAACGAGUGGCGGACGGGUGCGUAAUGUCUGGGAAACUGCCUGAUGGAGGGGUAUAACUACUGGAAACGGUCUCUAAUACCGCAUACCAUCGGAUGUGCCCAGAUGGGAUUAGCUAGUAGGUGGGGUAACGGCGCACCUAGGCGACGAUCCCUCGCUGGUCUGAGAGGAUGAACAGCCACACGGGAACUGAGACACGGUCCAGACUCCUACGGGAGGCAGCAGUGGGGAAUAUUGCACAAUGGGCGCAAGCCUGAUGCAGCCAUGCCGCGUGUAUGAAGAAGGCCUUCGGGUUGUAAAGUACUUUCAGCGGGGAGGCGUUACCCGCAGAAGAAGCACCGGCUAACUCCGUGCCAGCAGCCGCGGUAAUAC
rnacentral:rRNA from 1 species